GUACGCCAAAUGAAUGUGGACAGCGUAUGCCAGACUGGAGCUCAGGAGACUGGCUGCUGGGAAAAUGCGCUAAUCUAGGCACGAGUCAACUGAAGAACACAUCCAAAGGAAUUCACUGGAUUUAACCCAACUAAAGAGCUGGUGUUAAGCUGUUUCUGCAGCUUAACUGUGAAACAUAAGAGGAAGAAUCAAGAAUCAUGUGUCCUCAUCUUCUACAUCAAACUUACUGAUUGAUAGUUUAUAAGAAAGACUCUCAAUGGAACUUGGAACAUUGCUUGCCUGAUUUCCCAUCUGUAGGGCAGUGAGGUACUAAAUAUCUAUGUAGAUUUAGGAUAGCAAGAAAUGUAACUGUAUACUUGAUUAACUCCUUAUUUGAGAAUUAGUUACUGGAACCCACUAUGUGUUGGCUGUGAAGGACGUAAUGGUAAAGAAGACAGACCCAGUCACUGACUUCAGGGAACUUAUAUUCAGGUAAAGAAGAUAGGCAAUAAAUAAGGAAUCAAAAAAAUUAGACCACAAAAAGUGCUGCAAAGAAGACAGAAAGAGUACUAUGCUGGGAUGCAGUGGUGCAGGGUCCAAGUGGCAGUGAGUCUUGUAAGACAAAGACUAUGUUUGACUCUAAAUUUCAGGCAUGAUGGGAAGUAAUUGAUGAGUUUGGAGCAAUGUAGUAACUGAUAUGUUAUGCAUUUUUUGUUGCUCACUCUGAAUGUUACUACAUUCUGGGCGAGAUUAUGGGGACAAGAGUGGAAACAGAGAGGCUGGUUUAGGACGGACAGAGACAAAGGGUGAUGGUGGCUUAAAUAAACUUGCACUGGAGGCAAAGGAAAGUGGGUAUAAAUUGAAAUAUAUUUUGGGAGAAGCUAGCAGAAUUGAUGGAGAGGAAAAGGGAAAUCAAAGAUGACCCCUAGGUUUCUAGUUUGAACAACUGAAUGAAGAGUGCUAUCAUUUACCAAUAUCAUGGCAACUGGAGAAGAAACAAGGUUUGAAGGAAAAUGAUAAUCAGACACAUGUAUAUAUAUCCGUGUGAAAGCAUAGUACCAAAGUUUACCAAAGAGUGCUCUGGAUUGGAUAUUUAAGUAUCUGAUUUUUGUCACCACUUAGAGCAAUAACUUAUCUACAUCUUGUUGUUUCCCGUCUACAUGGAAAUAAUCAUAUCUGUCUUUACCGCUUCUGAGGGAUGCUGAGAAGACAGAUGAGAUAAUAUAUAUGAAAGUCCUUUGAAGUCUUGGGAGGAUAAGAACUGUGUAAACGCAAGCUAUCAUUAUUAUGUCACAGGGUGUGUUUUAUGUUUUUCAUGGUUCUACUCAAAGUCACAGGGAUCUUAAGCACAACAUGCUUACAUUCCUUCCUUCAUGUUCAGUUCCCAGACAUGAAAAGAUGAACAUGCUUCUCUUCCCCAACUGCCCCUUUCCCUAUAUUAUUGACAGGACUUUGCAAUUACUAGAAUUAUACCAAACUU
rnacentral:lncRNA from 1 species